rnacentral:rRNA from 1 species
CCUACGGGAGGCAGCAGUGGGGAAUAUUGGGCAAUGGGCGCAAGCCUGACCCAGCAACGCCGCGUGAAGGAAGAAGGCUUUCGGGUUGUAAACUUCUUUUAUGAGGGAAGAGUAAAGGACGUUUCCCUGUGAAAAACCCCCGGUUAACUAGGUGCCAGAAGCCCGGGAAUAACGUAGGUGGCAAGCGUUGUCCGGAUUUACUGGGUGUAAAGGGGGUGCAGGCGGGAAGGCAAGUCAGUUGUGAAAACCAGGGGCUCAACCGGUGGACUGCAUUUGAAACUGGUUUUCUUGAGUAACGGAGAGGUCGGCGGAAUUCCGAGUGUAGCGGUGAAAUGCGUAGAUAUUAGGAGGAACACCAGUGGCGAAGGCGGCCGACUGGACGGCAACUGACGCUGAGGCGCGAAAGCGUGGGGAGCAAACAGGAUUAGAUACCCUUGUAGUC